AUGCUGCCCUUGACCCUGUGCCUUUUUUGCAUUUUCCAAAGCAUCCUUCCGGUCAAGGGAGGGAGGAGCGUGGUUGUGGGGGGCGGUUUGCCCCUGUUUAAUGGAGGAGGCCUGGGAAGUCCAGAGCUUGCCCACAUGGGGAGGGGCCAGGGCGGGGGGGGGGGGGGUUGUGCCAUGAGGCUUCACCCUGGCAGGUUCCUGAGGGCUGGAGCUGUGUGUGCAGCCGCUCUGCCCCCUGGGGGGAAUCCUGGGACCCUCUGCGCCCGGCCUCUGCCGUCCCUGGACGUUCCCGGGAAGGCCCACCCGCCCUCGGGGACCAGGCGGGCAGAGGAGCCAGCUUACAGGAUGGGAGCUGCCAAAGGCAUUUGCCCUUCGUUCCGCGAACCUCUCCCUCUUCUUCCUCUGAUUGUGGCCGCUUCCUGUGAGCGUGUGUGCGUGUUUUCUUGGACAACCCCACAAUCGAAACCGCUUUGGCCUCUCAGGGGCAUACUCACUCGGGUUACGGCCCUGGGCUGGGGGGUUCUGUGGCCUUUUUAUUUAUUUAUUUUGUCAUCUGCGGCCAGUGCCCUGGGGGAAGCAGCUGCCCGGCACCCAGGAGCCCCCGCAGCACUGCUGUCCCCCUGCACGGCUCCAGCCACGCACGGCCUCCCCGCCCGGGGCCCCGGAGCUGUGUCUGUCUCUGCCACACUGCUUUGCUCACCGCAGCGCCCACCUGGGAGUCGAGCCCUUUCCGAAGCCUCACGUGGCGUCUGCAGACAGAAGGCGGCCUUGUGUGGGAGAGGGGCUCUCCUGGAGAGGCUCCCGGGACAGCCCAGGAGGAAAAAGAGGAGGCUCGGGCCUCUGGGAAGGCCGGAGCUGCACAGACCCCUGAUGCAGCUUCCAGCCAGCAGGUGGAGGGAGCCCCGGCAGCCUCGGCGGCAAGCCCAGCACCAGGGUGCAGAAUGCCAAGUCCUACAAAGCUCCCCAGACCCGACCUCAGGAAGCAGGCGAAGCAGGGGCCGGGCUGGGUCAGGCCACCGUCCAGCAAAUUACCGCAUCUGCCUCUUCCACCUGCCAGAGCCACCCCAGGGACCCCCGGCCUCCCCGCCCCCCUCGGCGAGGCCCCUUCCAGCCCCCUCCUGCCAAGACAGUGUCGUGUCAGCUUCCAGUUGUGUGUGCCCCCGUGUGUGA
rnacentral:lncRNA from 1 species